CGGGUGCCUGCCUGAAAGCUGCACCGCUAGAAUUCACUGAUCUUUUAGCUCUGAAGAUAUAAUCACUUCAGCUGAACUUUAGUAAAUUUGGUGAAACUGCCGAGCAACAUUCUGGCCAACCCUUUGUAAGAAACUUGUACAGAUACGAGUAUAAAAAAAAACCAUAGAUUGAGCUCAGAAAUUCUUAAAAACAUCCAGAUUUAUUACUACAUACUUCAAAUCAGCAUUUAAAGUUUUAUAAAGAAGAAGGUCAUAAUCGUAAAAAUCUGCGCCUCUUUGCUUACCGUGGCCCCAUUUGAGGUGUUGUUAAAAUAUAUUGUAUGUGUUGUUAAAAAAAAAAA